rnacentral:tRNA from 1 species
GGGCCCGUGGCCUAGUCAGGAUAUGGCGGGAGCUUGCGGAGCUCUAGAUCGAGGGAUCGAAGCCCUCCGGGCCCG